rnacentral:rRNA from 1 species
GUGAAGUCGUAACAAGGUAGCCGUAGGGGAACCUGCGGCUGGAUCACCUCCUUAAUCGACGAC